UACAGAGGUCUCAAGCGUUGUUCGGAUUCAUUGGGCGUAAAGCGCGCGCAGGCGGUCCUUUAAGUCUGAUGUGAAAGCCCACGGCUCAACCGUGGAGGGUCAUUGGAAACUGGGGGGACUUGAGUACAGAAGAGAAGAGUGGAAUUCCACGUGUAGCGGUGAAAUGCGUAGAGAUGUGGAGGAACACCAGUGGCGAAGGCGACUCUUUGGUCUGUAACUGACGCUGAGGCGCGAAAGCGUGGGGAGCAAACAGG
rnacentral:rRNA from 1 species